UGGACAGAUUACUGUAUUCGACUGUAUUCACGGCAACAGGGGAUUACACUGUUUUUAAACAGAAAGUGUAUCAAUUAACAUAAUAGACUACU
rnacentral:pre_miRNA from 1 species